rnacentral:rRNA from 1 species
GAGUUUGAUCUUGGCUCAGGAUGAACGCUGGCGGCGUGCUUAACACAUGCAAGUCGAACGAGAAAUUACUUUCGGGUAAUUGAAAGUGGCGCACGGGUGCGUAACACGUAGCUCAUCUGCCCUAGAGACGGGGAUAACGUUGGGAAACCAACGCUAAUACCCGAUAAGCUCACUAAGUGAGAAAAGUUCAGGCGCUCUAGGAUGAGGCUGCGGCCCAUCAGCUAGUUGGUAAGGUAAAAGCUUACCAAGGCGACGACGGGUAGGGGACCUGAGAGGGUGAACCCCCACACUGGCACUGAGACACGGGCCAGACUCCUACGGGAGGCAGCAGUGAGGAAUAUUGCACAAUGGGCGAAAGCCUGAUGCAGCGACGCCGCGUGAGCGAAGAGGGCCUUCGGGUCGUAAAGCUCUUUUCUGUGUGACGAGACGAGGACGGUAGCACAGGAAUAAGUCUCGGCUAACUACGUGCCAGCAGCCGCGGUAAAACGUAGGAGGCAAGCGUUAUCCGGAGUUACUGGGCGUAAAGCGCGUGUAGGCGGUAGUGAAGGUCAGAUGUGAAAGCUCCCAGGCUAAACCGGGAGAGGACAUUUGAAACCGCACAACUAGAGGAUAGCAGAGGGGUACGGAAUUCCGGGUGUAGUGGUGAAAUGCGUAGAGAUCCGGAGGAACACCAGUGGCGAAGGCGGUGCCCUGGGCUAAACCUGACGCUGAGACGCGAAAGCAUGGGGAGCGAACGGGAUUAGAGACCCCGGUAGUCCAUGCCGUAAACGAUGCACACUAAGUGUUUGUAUUGGGAAACCAAUGCGGGUGCUGAAGCUAACGCGAUAAGUGUGCCGCCUGAGGAGUACGGUCGCAAGGCUAAAACUCAAAGGAAUUGACGGGGGCCCGCACAAGCAGCGGAGCGUGUGGUUUAAUUCGAAGAUACACGAAGAACCUUACCAGGGCUUGACAUCCUCUGAACGACGUAGAAAUACGAAGGGUCCUUCGGGACAGAGUGACAGGUGCUGCAUGGCUGUCGUCAGCUCGUGCCGUGAGGUGUUCGGUUAAGUCCGCAAACGAGCGCAACCCCUAGUGUUAGUUACAAGUGUCUAGCACGACUGCCCUCGAAAAGGGGGAGGGAGGUGGGGAUGACGUCAAGUCAGCAUGGCCUUUAUGUCCUGGGCUACACACACGCUACAAUGGCACGUACAAUGGGUCGCGAAGCCGCGAGGUGGAGCCAAUCUCGAAAGCGUGUCGUAGUUCGGAUUGCAGGCUGCAACUCGCCUGCAUGAAGUCGGAGUUGCUAGUAACCGUGGAUCAGCUAUGCUACGGUGAAUACGUUCCCGGGCCUUGUACACACCGCCCGUCACGUCAUGGGAGCUGGUCACGCCUGAAGUCGGGAAGCUAACCGAAAGGGGGCUACCGCCGAGGGCAGGGCUGGUGACUGGGGUGAAGUCGUAACAAGGUAACCGUA